rnacentral:lncRNA from 1 species
UUCAACACAGACUUGUUCAUAUUCUCAAUUCCAUGCUAGCAGAAUCCUAGAAACCCCACUGUGUCAUGCUUUUUUUUUUCCAGUCUGAAUAACACAGCUAAUGUCAUUUCCUACUCACCAACAACCAGAUGACUAAGAAUCAGGAGUCCGAGAAACUCUGAGCUCUGGGGUCUGUCACUUGGCAUUUCAAGCACAAAACAGUCUAAAUAAACGCACUGAAUUUACCGCUUUUCACACCUUUUUUGAACCACUUGUGUCCUAAGUCUUAUUAUCACUACCAACAAUCACUGUGAACACUGCCUGCUGCCUUCAAGGCAUGGUAGCCAUAAUGGUAGCAUGAAUCAGAAUUAGAUACACUAACUGUAGUAAAUCAACAGCACUGAGCAAUCCCAUUUCAUUAACAUCAGCAACUCAUCACCAGCUGCACCUUCGAGACAGAUGGCUGCAGCUGACUCCCAAGGCUUUGCUUUCUCUUGCCACCCACAGUGGGUUGAAGUGACAGAGUAGUCUGAGUUUGUUUAUACACUGAAAAUGUCCUCUUCUGUCCUGUAGCCUUCUUUUGCCAUCUCUUUUUCUUAAUGAGGGGAAAAUCAAGGGAAAAAAAAAAAAGACCUUUAUUUCAGGACGAAUAAAGGAGUUCCAAAAUCCAAGGCUGAAAGAUUUACAUCUUACACUAGCACCAUUAAAAGACCUACAUUGGCUACUGCGAUACCAUAACAACAAGUGAUUAAAAAAGCCUUUUUCUGGGGGGAAUUAAUUCUACAUAGUAGGUAGGAAAUGCUUUUUUUUUUUUUCCUUUUUCCUAUCUUAAUUCAAAUACCAUUCUUAGGCAAAGAAAUGAACUCAGAAAAUAAACCUUCUGCAUUGUCACUGAUCAAACAACCCCAGUUGUACUCCGCCUCCUGCACUGAGUUGUGCCAAAGACACUUUCCAAAGUCCACUUGAAAUUAAGAAAGCUUCUGUGAAGACAACUUAUAGCCAGCUCUAUUCACUCACCAAGACAUAUGGAGUUUCAAAUAGCAGUAACCUGCCUGCACAGGGCCCUCCAUCAUGUGGAAAAACAACUUCCUCGCUGUCUGACCCUGUUUGUCUGUGGAGCUGUCUUUCAGUCCUCCUGCAGAAGCUUUUCAAUAUUAGCCAAUUUCAACCAAGUUUGGCCAAGGCAAAAAGAACCAAAAGGUACUACAUCUAUAAAAUCAGACUGCCAUCAAGCAGAAAAACUGUGAGUAUCCCUAUUAAGGAAAAUUCUUCACCCUUAAUGCAGCCCUUCUUAGGCCUUGGAGCACUUGUGGAGGCCAAGGGAGGAGGCAAUUUACGCUGCCAUGAUCACAUGUUCAGCAGAAUCUGAGCCACCUAGUUCAGACCAAGUUUGUUGUAUUGAGUGUGGCUGGGGGGGACUGUAUUUCCUUCAUAGCAGCCUGUAUGGUGAUUUGUUUUGCAUUUUUGACUUAAACAGUGUUGCUAACACACAAGUGCUUCGGCUGUUGCUGAUACAUUGAAGCUCUCUCUGCUUCUCUGUACCCUGGUGAGUGGGCCAGGGACAGGCAAGGGGUUGGGAGGGUACAGAGCUGGGACAGCUGACCUGAUCUCACCAAGAGGUUACUCCAUGGUGAAUAAUGUCAUGCUCAGCAACAAAAACUGGGAGGUUUUCUUUCUAAAGUAGCUGUUGUUUGGAGACUGACUGGGCAUCAGUCUGAUUGUGGGUGGUGGAGAGUGACUGCUUUUCCAUCACUAUUUGUCUCUUUCCUCCUGUUAUUAAACUAUCUUUACCUCAGCCCACGUGUAUUUUGUAACUUGCUUUUGCUCUACAUUCACCUACAUCUGCAUGAGAUCUACCAGUAGCACUAAAGGCAAACUCUGAGGAUAAAAAACUGAAACAAGUUUGGUUAACAAAUAAGUUAUCAAUCUGGAGCUAUUCAAACCCAUCAAGCUAUCAGAUUCACUGAAAAUAGAAGCUUUACAGUACUGUAAGGUUGUUUAAAAAAAAAAGAAAAGUUAUGGUAGCACUUGGAGAAAACAUUUACAACAUUCACAAACAUGUUUAAGGAUGAUUACCUAUAUUUGCUCACUUUGCAGUAACUUGCUUCUAUCCUGUGAUACACAGCAGUAGAUAGCAUAAUGUAUAAUUGCAAAAAACAAAAACAAACAAAAACAAAAAAAAACAAAAAAAAACCAUGAUAAAUUGUCAGAAAGAAAGUGUAGAUAACUGAUAAACUGGAGGUGCACCUUUUAGAAACAAGCUUUGGGAAAUGCAGACUGUCAGGAUGGUUAUGAUGUGUCAGCAUAGUGUAUCUGUGAAGAGCAUGCUGUGAUCCUGGAACGUGCCGGAAGUGUUUCUGGUAGAGACAUGAGGGCCACGGUGAGACAGUUCAUGCCAUUAUAUGCAAAAUCCCAUCACUCAUAUUUGAAAAAAAAAGGUAAAAUCUAAAUAACUUGAUUCUAGGAGGAUGAGAGAAAUGGUGAACCAAGCUUCUGAGUUUGGCUUACUUAAUCUGAAAAACAACAACAAACAGAGUGGAAAUGUGAUUGCUCUCUAGAAUAGUCAGGGAACGAAGGGAGUACUGAACACAAAUGGUAAAAUGAAAACUUUAAGCUUGGAAAGUAUAUUGAUAAAAGAGUAACUAGUUAUAAACUGGCCAUUCAGUACGUGAAAUGAAAAUGUGUUUCAUCAUUAGCAGCCAGAAUUGGGUUCCAAAAUUGCUUUGCAAUGAAGUAAAUGAGACUGAAAAAAAUUGCUUACAAGAGCCUUCUGUAAGCAUAUCGAAAAUCUUACAUAGCAAGGUGUCUGUGGGAGCAGGCUGGACACAACAAGCUAACAAGACCUUUCUGCUCCCAAGAGCUUAAUAUUAUGAAAAGAAAAAAAAAGAAAACAAAUAUGGUGCAAGUAUCAGGAAAUCCUCCUGGUAGGGAGAUUUCUCUGUUAAUGCCAUUGACUAGCCAAGGAAGCUGUUGAAUGAGAGAGAAUGACUGGAUUAAUAAGAAAGACUUCUGGAUUUCACUCUGCAAGCAGUUAAAUAAUUGUUCUGACAGUCCUCGAAGUUUGAAAUUUCAUUUGGGAUUAUAUCAAAUAAAGCCUGGAGAACAAAGUUGGGGGAACA